AGAUCCCCGGCUGUCGAAACCGCGUAGCUCCCUAACAUAGAGCGACCGCCACGAAGCUUGCCGAGCGGCGUGAUCGCCCGAGCUGUCUCCUUCACGGCGACAGCUGAACGCCGAAGGUGGUGGUGUGGUGUCCCGGUGGUGGUAUCCCUUUACUCGUUUGCUGUGGUCUUUCGUUUUCAUUUAUUUUGCUGUGCUCACUAUUUUGUUUUUGUGUUCACGGGUGUCUUCUCCUGAAACCUCCCCCGCUGCCCUCGUGUCCCCUCC
ensembl:lncRNA